rnacentral:SRP_RNA from 1 species
UGCCAGGAGCGGCAAAGCGCUUGGCACGCUAACCCCGCCAGGUCCGAAAGGAAGCAACGGUACCGUGACCGACGUUGUUGCCGCUUCUGGUCUCU